rnacentral:sRNA from 1 species
GCAGUCUUUCUAGCUGCGUAAACCCCGGGUUCUCGUUCGGUUCCCCUUAACUGCGGCCGCCGCCCAUUCCAAGCCACUGGAGCUUCAGCUAGGCAAAGAGGGAAUUCACUUCCAGAAAGGAAGCUUUAGUCUCAAAACCAAGGGAGGCAACUACAGAACUGGACCUUGGCUGAACGUAGGAGAGGUGGAAAGGAAGAAGAGGCAGAAGGUGAGACGGAAAUGAAUCACACAGCUUGGAACCUGAGACUUCAUCAUCUCCGUCUCUGCGUGGCGGGGAUUCCUGAAGGAAAUGCUCCUACAGUUCUGCGUGGGUUGUUUCUGAAGUUGUCUGUCCCCUGGCUUCCCCUUGUGGCCCAGUUUCAAUCUAUUUGUAAACCUACCAGCCCUCAAGAGCUCCCCAGACAGAAACUGCCAGUCAUGACAUUGUCGUAUUUACUCUCAGCCACUUUUAGAGACUGUCUAGGACACUGAUGUUUGAGCUAGUCUCCUCUUUCCCCUGGGAUCCCACAUACUUGCUCAUCUGGAUAAGACCAAUAUAUCCGCAUUUUAAUUUUUAUUAAACCGCAUUUCCAGGUUUAAUAUACA